ACAGGUUUGAUGAUGGGAACCAGUAAGCUCAUGAGCAUUCGUUUACAGAGAGUUGGCGGUAGGUGCGAGCCAAUGAAACGGACCAUGGCUGAAUAUCAUCCCGGAGAAGUGAAGCCGAAAGCAUGCUGCAGCAGCUGCAAUUAAGCCGAACCGUGUGCCGAACGUUACAUCGGCUCCUUAUGGCAGUCACAUAAGGAUUAGAGCGCCGUUUAUUUGUCACAUGCAGACAGAUGACGGAACUAGGGUGGUAACGCGAGAACAGUCUCGUCCCUUUU
rnacentral:ncRNA from 1 species